rnacentral:rRNA from 1 species
AGGGUUUGAUUCUGGCUCAGGACGAACGCUGGCGGCGUGCCUAACACAUGCAAGUCGAGCGAGAAUCUUUGAAACAAACCCUUCGGGGUGCGUUUUGAAGAGGAAAGCGGCGGACGGGUGAGUAACGCGUGAGGAACCUGCCCAUAAGAGGGGGAUAACAACCGGAAACGGUUGCUAAUACCGCAUAUUGAGAUAGAGCCGCAUGACUUUAUCUUGAAAGAUUUAUCGCUUAUGGAUGGUCUCGCGUCUGAUUAGCUGGUUGGUGAGGUAACGGCCCACCAAGGCGACGAUCAGUAGCCGAACUGAGAGGUUGAUCGGCCACAUUGGGACUGAGACACGGCCCAG